rfam:Ixodes scapularis strain Wikel colony gcontig_1108378738756, whole genome shotgun sequence.
GCAGUCGUGGCCGAGUGGUUAAGGCGAUGGACUAAAAAUCCAUUGAGGUCUCCCCACACAGGUUCAAAUCCUGUCAACUGCG